rnacentral:rRNA from 1 species
GACGAACGCUGGCGGCGUGCCUAAUACAUGCAAGUAGAACGCUGAAGGAGGAGCUUGCCCUUCUGGAUGAGUUGCGAACGGGUGAGUAACGCGUAGGUAACCUGCCUGGUAGCGGGGGAUAACUAUUGGAAACGAUAGCUAAUACCGCAUAACAGUAGAUGUUGCAUGACAUUUGCUUAAAAGGUGCAAUUGCACCACUACCAGAUGGACCUGCGUUGUAUUAGCUAGUUGGUGGGGUAACGGCUCACCAAGGCGACGAUACAUAGCCGACCUGAGAGGGUGAUCGGCCACACUGGGACUGAGACACGGCCCAGACUCCUACGGGAGGCAGCAGUAGGGAAUCUUCGGCAAUAGACGGAAGUCUGACCGAGCAACGCCGCGUGAGUGAAGAAGGUUUUCGGAUCGUAAAGCUCUGUUGUAAGAGAAGAACGAGUGUGAGAGUGGAAAGUUCACACUGUGACGGUAUCUUACCAGAAAGGGACGGCUAACUACGUG